ACACGACUACGUAGUUUGAUCAGUGGCUACAGGACGAACGCUGGCGGUGUGCUUCACACAUGCAAGUCGAACGAGGUAGCAAUACCUAGUGGCGGACGGGUGAGUAACGCGUGGGAAUCUGCCUUUAGAUGGGGGAUAACGGGUCGAAAGACUCGCUAAUACCGCAUAUGACGAAAGUUGAAAGGAGUAAUCCGUCUAAAGAUGAGCCCGCGUCCGAUUAGCUAGUUGGUAGAGUAAAAGCCUACCAAGGCGACGAUCGGUAGCUGGUCUGAGAGGAUGAUCAGCCACAAUGGGACUGAGACACGGCCCAUACUCCUACGGGAGGCAGCAGUGGGGAAUUUUACGCAAUGGGCGAAAGCCUGACGUAGCGACACCGCGUGAGCGAAGAAGCCCCUUGGGGUGUAAAGCUCUGUCAGCUGGAACGAAAAAAAUGGACGGUACCAGCAGAGGAAGCAUCGGCUAACUACGUG
rnacentral:rRNA from 1 species